AACAGCCGCAACUUUGCAAACAGCUUGUUUAUUCCGCAGCAUACGGAACACUGCUUGUUUCAGCUGGAAUAGUCUUUAACAAAUCCGAAAAAUGUCUUCAAAACAGCACACCCUCUCAGCUCUCCUGCAGAUCUUCAGAGAGGGAAGAGAAGGGAGAGGAAAAAAUAAGAGAAAUGACUGUGCAAGGGUCUUAAAUCCAGUGGCCUGAUGGUGGUGGUCAAGCUCCUUCAGUGCUUGGGUCCCCCCUGCAUAGUUCACUAAAGAGUGGACUCUGUACCUGCUGUUUUAAAGGUUCAUUUUGAACUUACAACCAAGGCUGACACCUGUGGAACCCUGCCUUUGAUUGAUUGUUGAGGCCAUUGAUCUAAUUUUGAAACCUUUGAAUUUCUCCUCUGCAUCCUUCCUUUUCUUGUAUGGCGUGGAGUAAACCUAAUUCCUAUGUGCCUCAUGCAGGGCUUCGCUCAGCACGGUGGGAAAACUGAGUGAAUAAAUAAAUAAAAUAAACCU